UUUUAUGGAGAGUUUGAUCCUGGCUCAGAGUGAACGCUGGCGGCGUGCCUAAUACAUGCAAGUCGAACGAUGAAGUCUCAUAGCUUGCUAUGAGAUGGAUUAGUGGCGCACGGGUGAGUAAUGCAUAGGUUAUGUGCCCUUUAGUCUGGGAUAGCCACUGGAAACGGUGAUUAAUACUAGAUACUCCCUACGGGGGAAAGAAUUUUGCUAAAGGAUCAGCCUAUGUCCUAUCAGCUUGUUGGUGAGGUAAUGGCUCACCAAGGCUAUGACGGGUAUCCGGCCUGAGAGGGUGAACGGACACACUGGAACUGAGACACGGUCCAGACUCCUACGGGAGGCAGCAGUAGGGAAUAUUGCUCAAUGGGGGAAACCCUGAAGCAGCAACGCCGCGUGGAGGAUGAAGGUUUUAGGAUUGUAAACUCCUUUUCCAAGAGAAGAUAAUGACGGUAUCUUGGGAAUAAGCACCGGCUAACUCCGUGCCAGCAGCCGCGGUAAUACGGAGGGUGCAAGCGUUACUCGGAAUCACUGGGCGUAAAGAGCGCGUAGGCGGGUCAAUAAGUCAGAUGUGAAAUCCUGUGGCUUAACUACAGAACUGCAUUUGAAACUGUUGAUCUAGAGUAUGGGAGAGGUAGAUGGAAUUCUUGGUGUAGGGGUAAAAUCCGUAGAGAUCAAGAGGAAUACUCAUUGCGAAGGCGAUCUGCUGGAACAUUACUGACGCUGAUGCGCGAAAGCGUGGGGAGCAAACAGGAUUAGAUACCCUGGUAGUCCACGCCCUAAACGAUGGAUGCUAGUUGUUGGGAGGCUUGUCCUUCCAGUAAUGCAGCUAACGCAUUAAGCAUCCCGCCUGGGGAGUACGGUCGCAAGAUUAAAACUCAAAGGAAUAGACGGGGACCCGCACAAGCGGUGGAGCAUGUGGUUUAAUUCGAAGAUACGCGAAGAACCUUACCUAGGCUUGACAUUGAUAGAAUCUGCUAGAAAUAGCGGAGUGUCUAGCUUGCUAGACCUUGAAAACAGGUGCUGCACGGCUGUCGUCAGCUCGUGUCGUGAGAUGUUGGGUUAAGUCCCGCAACGAGCGCAACCCUCGUCCUUAGUUGCUAGCAGUUCGGCUGAGCACUCUAAGGAGACUGCCUUCGUAAGGAGGAGGAAGGUGAGGACGACGUCAAGUCAUCAUGGCCCUUACGCCUAGGGCUACACACGUGCUACAAUGGGAUGUACAAAGAGAUGCAAUACUGCGAAGUGGAGCAAAUCUCAAAAACAUCUCUCAGUUCGGAUUGUAGUCUGCAACUCGACUACAUGAAGCUGGAAUCGCUAGUAAUCGUGAAUCAGCAAUGUCACGGUGAAUACGUUCCCGGGUCUUGUACUCACCGCCCGUCACACCAUGGGAGUUGUAUUCGCCUUAAGCCGGGAUGCUAAAUUGGCUACCGUCCACGGCGGAUGCAGCGACUGGGGUGAAGUCGUAACAAGGUAACCGUAGGUGAACCUGCGGUUGGAUCACCUCCUUUCUA
rnacentral:rRNA from 1 species